GAAUGACUCCCGUGUUUUCCACCAAACCCUUCAGCCUAACCCAACAUUUGACGUCUGUUUAUGGUUCCCUUUAUACUGCACUGGCCCAAAGUAUGUCACCUUAUGUCUUCUUUUUAAAAAGAUUUAUUUAUUUUAGAGAGAGAGAGAGCAGGGGGAGGGGCAGAGGGAGCGAGAGAGUCUCCAGCAAACUCCCCACUGAGCAUGGAGCCCGAUGAGGGCCUCCGUCCCACGAUCCCGAGAUCACGACCUGAGCUCAAAUCAAGAGUCAGAUGCUCAGUCAGCUGAGCCACCCAGGGGCACCUCACCUUAUUUCUUUUUUUAAAUUCAUCUGACCAGACAUUGCUGAAGAAAGACAACGGCAGUAGUCCAAGCCGCCCUACAGCACUGCGUCCAUGGUCGUUUAGAAACGUACGCCGUCAACACCAGACGGGACGAGGUCAGCAGGCUGUGUCCCCCAGACAGCUGGCCGAGGCCUGGAAACAGAACCUCUCCUCCAGACAGCAAGCCAGCAGAGGAGUCAGAGGGCCGACCUCACCUCCCAGCUGAGAGAACACACCGCCAAGGAAGGCACCUUCCCCGGAGGAAAAGUGCCACAGUGGGUUAGGCGUUUUACAAAAUGCUCUUAACAGCACACACUCCUGUGAAAACAACUUAGCAACUUGUAUCGCAAGCCAAAGGACACACAGGGCAUGAAAGCUGAAGAGGGGCAUCUCUGACUGGUGUGUCAGUGGUGAGAGAAGCAACAGCGAGAAACCGGCAGAAUUUAGAGUUGGCUUUCCACUCCCCUAGCUUCACACCGAGGCACAGGCAGAAAGAACGUCUGUGAGGUAAAUUCCUCAAAGUGGGACUCCUGGGCUUACAGUUUUGUUAUUGCCGAACUGCCUUCCAUGAGUCGGGCCAGUUCAUCCUGCGAGCAGACAACGUGUAUGGAGACCCGCCGUUUCAGCAGCACAGACUUGGCCGAGAGACCAGCUCACCUCAGUUUAACUGCUGGCUCUCAAGAUGCAGACCUCUCUAGAAUGCCGGCACAGAACGGUGGGGCCGUUCCGAAGCGCGCAGCCGGGGCGAGCAGGGGUGCCCGCAGUGGCCGGGAGCAGCGAGGCUGUGGGGAGCGACAGCCGAGGGGUUCAUAUUCCUCCCGUCAGUGACUACUGUCCGCGGAGAAGCCGUUCACAGGAGGGCAUUGUCUCGGCUCCACGGCACACAAAGGGUCAAGUCUCACAAAUGUGCUCGUAGUGGGGGGAAAACACCCACGGGUCAAAAUGUUCAGAUUACAGGUC